rnacentral:rRNA from 1 species
AGCCUUUGGAGAGGAUUAAAGGUUAUACCUGCCCAAUGUUAUAUUAAUGGCCGCGGUACUUUGACCGUGCUAAGGUAGCACAAUCAAUUGGCCCUUAAUUAGGGUCAGGUAUGAAUGGAGUUACGGGGCUUAGCUGUCUCUAGACUAUUUAAUUGAAGUUGCUAUAUAGGUGAAAAAGCCUGUAUUAAGAAAAAAGACGAGAAGACCCUUAGAGUUUUACUUAAAAAGAGUUAUUUCUUCACUAGUUUUGUUGGGGCAACAUAGGAGAAGAACUAAACCUCCUAAAGGAUAUAAACCGAUGUUUUUAAAUGUGAAUAAACUACCUUAGGGAUAACAGCAUAAUUUUAAAAAUAAGUUUGUGACCUCGAUGUUGGACUAGGAAACUUAAGGGCUAGCCGCCUUUUGGUAAGGUUCUGUUCGAACUAUAAUUCCU